rnacentral:rRNA from 1 species
GAUGAACGCUGGCGGCGUGCUUAACACAUGCAAGUCGAACGAUGAAGCCCAGCUUGCUGGGUGGAUUAGUGGCGAACGGGUGAGUAACACGUGAGUAACCUGCCCUUAACUCUGGGAUAAGCCUGGGAAACGGGGUCUAAUACCGGAUAGGAGCGUCCACCGCAUGGUGGGUGUUGGAAAGAUUUAUCGGUUUUGGAUGGACUCGCGGCCUAUCAGCUUGUUGGUGAGGUAAUGGCUCACCAAGGCGACGACGGGUAGCCGGCCUGAGAGGGUGACCGGCCACACUGGGACUGAGACACGGCCCAGACUCCUACGGGAGGCAGCAGUGGGGAAUAUUGCACAAUGGGCGCAAGCCUGAUGCAGCGACGCCGCGUGAGGGAUGACGGCCUUCGGGUUGUAAACCUCUUUCAGUAGGGAAGAAGCGAAAGUGACGGUACCUGCAGAAGAAGCACCGGCUAACUACGUG